UACAGAGGUCUCGAGCGUUAGGCGGAAUCACUGGGCUUAAAGCGUGUGUAGGCGGAUUGCUAAGUACCUUGUGAAAUCCCACGGCUUAACCGUGGAACUGCUUGGUAUACUGGCUGUCUUGAGCCACUUAGGGGCAACCGGAACAAACGGUGGAGCGGUGAAAUGCGUAGAUAUCGUUUUGGAACGCCAAUGGUGAAAACAGGUUGCUGGGAGUGUGCUGACGUUGAGGCACGAAAGCGUGGGGAGCAAGACGG
rnacentral:rRNA from 1 species